ACGUACAGACAAUUACACUGUGGCAGAGCAAUGAGCCAAACGGGGGGUUGACACCUCCAAUGUUGACUCUGACGAGGAACCAGCGAAGAGGGCGGUGACUUAACCUAUCAGAUUCCUAGUAGAGCCACCUGAUGACGAUGCAAGUGAAGCACUCCAGAAAAAGACAAAUGAACCCAGACAAGCCCAGCUUCCAGUGGCACAGCUUCCACCAGCCCCUGGUGCAACUUCAAGAGCCAGUGUCUUUGAAAAGACCCUACAAGUUGCAGAUGCCGAGGACUUGAGGCCACCUCAAGCCAGAGUGACAGCAAGUGUCUGGUUGUAAUUUGUUAGGGUAAACAAUUGAAUUGUAUGAAGUGUUAUAGCUUUACAGACAUUUCAAAGACACUCAAUAGAAUACAAUUACCAUCAAUUUUUUUCAUAGUAGGUUAUUUAAAGUAUUAUUACUACUUUGUGCAUAAUGUUAGAACUUUUCAAAUACUUGUGGUGCUGUGAAAUGGGUGAAACUUGUAGUGAAAUCAGCAUAUUCUUCUGGAGUAAAACACAAGUGUGAUGCCAUGUUUGUAAAUAUCUG
rnacentral:lncRNA from 1 species